rnacentral:rRNA from 1 species
UACGUAGGGUGCAAGCGUUAAUCGGAAUUACUGGGCGUAAAGCGUGCGCAGGCGGUUUUUGUAAGUCAGAUGUGAAAUCCCCGGGCUUAACCUGGGAACUGCGUUUGAAACUACAAGGCUAGAGUGUGGCAGAGGGGGGUGGAAUUCCACGUGUAGCAGUGAAAUGCGUAGAGAUGUGGAGGAACACCGAUGGCGAAGGCAGCCCCCUGGGUUAACACUGACGCUCAGGCACGAAAGCGUGGGGAGCAAACAGG